rnacentral:lncRNA from 1 species
GGCCGCGGGCACAGUGAGGACGAAGCGCCGGGGCCCUGCCUGCGCCCCCACUCAGGGCGCCCUCGUCACGGCCGCGUCCUGUCCUCCGUGCGCUCCUAAUAGCUCCACGUCAGAGUUCCCAGGUUCAGUGGAUGAAUCCAAUGUGGAGACCAAAACCGCUGAAAGGAGUCCACAGAGCAAGUCUGAUGGCCCUGCUUCCUUGGGCAUAUUCUACCAGGUACGGCAGAAUGGAUAGUACACAGGUAAAAACUGUCUUUCUAGGCUUGGUACUCUCAAGUACAAAUGAAAGUAUUGUGUUCAUAUGAACUAACCAGUGCCCCCCAGAGCUGUGUCUCUAGUUGCAUAUGUAGCAGAGGAUGGGAGGAGAGGCCCUUGGUCUUGUGAAGAUCAUAUGCCCCAGUACAGGGGAAUGCCAGGGCCAGAAAGCAGGAGUGGUUGGGUUGAGGAGCAGGGAGGGGAGAGGGUAUAGGGGGCUUUGGGGAUAACAUUUGAAAUGUAAAUGAAGAAAAUACCUAAUAAAAAAGAAAAAAAAAGUAUUGUGUUAAUUUUAAUAAAAUUCCAAAAAAAAUGCCACCAGAAGUUGUGGCCCAGAUUUACAGUGGAUCUUCUCACCUCAAGUGAUCAAAUCAAGAAAAUUUCUUCAUCCAUGCCCAGCUGCUUGUGUUCUAGUUGAUUCCAGAUGAAGUCAAGGUGACAACCAGAAUUAGCCAUCACCAGUCUACCCCCUGUCAACUCGACACACAAUCACAUCUCCUUAUGUCAUGCUUAAUUUACAAAUGGAAACAAUAACUAGAUCAUAAUUAUACCUAAUAUGAUGUAACUCUCACAUGGACAGCCAC